ACGUAGGGGGCAAGCGUUGUCCGGAAUUAUUGGGCGUAAAGCGCGCGCAGGCGGUUUUCUAAGUCUGGUGUUUAAGCCCAGGGCUCAACCCUGGUUCGCACUGGAAACUGGAAGACUUGAGUGCAGGAGAGGAAAGCGGAAUUCCACGUGUAGCGGUGAAAUGCGUAGAUAUGUGGAGGAACACCGGUGGCGAAGGCGACUUUCUGGACUGUAACUGACGCUGAGGCGCGAAAGCGUGGGGAGCAAACAG
rnacentral:rRNA from 1 species